ensembl:lncRNA
AGCAAUAAGGACGGAUAAAUCCAUUUUUUUUUUUUUUAGAUAAGCUGUGUUACGUGUGGAAGAGGAACCUUUUUUCCCUCGACUCUGCUGCUGCGAUAGUGAGGAGCACCUGCACAUAGAUGAGAGGAGGGCGCCUCCCUGUAAGCAGGCAACAAAGCCAAUCUCCCACAGGACUCUUUCUGCGACGUCCCGCCUCUCUUUGGAGGUGUUGUACAGUCGCACAUCCGUCAGCAGAGGCCGUCCCAGUGUGUCUCGCAGCUCUGCACUGGUCCCAUGAAUAAAUCUGUGCCUUCCUGCGCCCUGAUGCCUCUGAGAAGCGACUUGCACGUCGUCUCACGCGGUAAUGACUCUCUUGUCAUUCAUUGUGCACACAGAAGAUCCCUCAGAGCGGUAAAACAUCUGCUCGGCGUCUGGAGUUUCCGCGGAGGAAAAAUCAGGGACAAUUUGGACCAGAAGCUCCAAGCACUCGAGCAGCAGCACUUCAAAUGGAUUGGAGUUUCAACAGACAUUCUUGCUUUCAGAAGAGCUCUUGGCACUUCCAAUUAUUCCCAUGAAAACUCAAACAUUUUAACUUUAAUCGAAUUGCAAUUCACUGUCAAAUCUGCGUCUCUUCUUUUCAAGCAUAUGGUUCCUCUCAGAACUCAUUUCUAUUCAAAAAGACACAACUGUCUUUAUCUAUGAAGAGGAUAGAAGAAGAUUAAACAAGAUCAGGAAAGCAAAACAAUCUCUUCAAAGCAUUUCCGCCGUAACGUGUGUUGAAUGUAAAGAGAAUACCAAUGAGAUCAAUAGUCAUCGUAUCUACACUGCUUGUUCUAUUACUGGUCUUUUAGUUAAACUUCUAACCGACUACGAAUAAAUAACUG